CUUCGGAUCUUUGAGAGCGGCGCACGGGUGCGGAACACGUGUGCAACCUACCUUUAUCAGGGGGAUAGCCUUUCGAAAGGAAGAUUAAUACCCCAUAAUAUAUCAGAUGGCAUCAUUUGAUAUUGAAAACUCCGGUGGAUAGAGAUGGGCACGCGCAAGAUUAGAUAGUUGGUGAGGUAACGGCUCACCAAGUCAAUGAUCUUUAGGGGGCCUGAGAGGGUGAUCCCCCACACUGGUACUGAGACACGGACCAGACUCCUACGGGAGGCAGCAGUGAGGAAUAUUGGACAAUGGGUGAGAGCCUGAUCCAGCCAUCCCGCGUGAAGGACGACGGCCCUAUGGGUUGUAAACUUCUUUUGUAUAGGGAUAAACCCAGAUACGUGUAUCUGGCUGAAGGUACUAUACGAAUAAGCACCGGCUAACUCCGUGCCAGCAGCCGCGGUAAUACGGAGGGUGCAAGCGUUAUCCGGAUUUAUUGGGUUUAAAGGGUCCGUAGGCGGACUCGUAAGUCAGUGGUGAAAUCUCAUAGCUUAACUAUGAAACUGCCAUUGAUACUGCGGGUCUUGAGUAAGGUAGAGGUAGCUGGAAUAAGUAGUGUAGCGGUGAAAUGCAUAGAUAUUACUUAGAACACCAAUUGCGAAG
rnacentral:rRNA from 1 species